rnacentral:lncRNA from 1 species
AGAAGAAGGAAACAUAAGGUUGGAGAAUUCUACGGAAGAAAAAGACGAAGAAGCGGUGGAAUAGAUGCUUCUUCCACUAAUAUAGAUGCCUCAAAUGAUAAAUUCAAAAGUAAUGAAAAUGCAGAAGGUGAAAUAGAGGAUCAGAGGAUGAACAGAGAAUGAAACACCGGCACGACCGAUACACCUAUAUUGAAGGAAGAGACAUCUCAUACUGUUGAGUCCUCUCCAGCCAGUCCUUCACCCGGUACCUCACUUGUCA